GCAGCGAUGGUCUAAUGGUGAGGAUUCCCCACUCCGGUCUUAUGAUAACCCAAUGCUUCGGCAUUGGGGGACUACCACAUGGGGCGAUGUGGGUUCGAAUCCUGCUCGCUGCG
rnacentral:tRNA from 1 species